rnacentral:rRNA from 1 species
UCGAAACUUGAUUCGGGCUCGGCCCGAUCCUCCCACCCUUUGUGUACCUACCUCUGUUGCUUUGGCGGGCCGCGGUCCUCCGCGGCCGCCCCCCUCCCCGGGGGGGUGGCCAGCGCCCGCCAGAGGACCAUCAAACUCCAGUCAGUAAACGAUGCAGUCUGAAAAACAUUUAAUAAACUAAAACUUUCAACAACGGAUCUCUUGGUUCUGGCAUCGAUGAAGAACGCAGCGAAAUGCGAUAAGUAAUGUGAAUUGCAGAAUUCAGUGAAUCAUCGAAUCUUUGAACGCACAUUGCGCCCUUUGGUAUUCCGAAGGGCAUGCCUGUUCGAGCGUCAUUACAACCCUCAAGCUCUGCUUGGUAUUGGGCACCGUCCUUUGCGGGCGCGCCUCAAAGACCUCGGCGGUGGCGUCUUGCCUCAAGCGUAGUAGAACAUACAUCUCGCUUCGGAGCGCAGGGCGUCGCCCGCCGGACGAACCUUCUGAACUUUUCUCAAGGUUGACCUCGGAUCAGGUAGGGAUACCCGCUGAACUUAAGCAUAUCAUAGGCCCGGAGGAAGA